GCGAACGCUAGCGGCAAGCUUAACACAUGCAAGUCGAACGCGUAACGGCUGUAGCAAUACAGUUUUUACGAGUGGCAGACGGGUGAGUAACGCGUGGGAACCUUCCCUGAAGUAUGGAAUAACCACUGGAAACGGUGGCUAAUACCGUAUGAUCCAUAGGGCAACUUAUGGUAGAAGAUUUAUCGCUUCAGGACGGGCCCGCGUCAGAUUAGCUAGUUGGUGGGGUAAUGGCCUACCAAGGCUACGAUCUGUAGCUGGUCUGAGAGGAUGAUCAGCCACACUGGGACUGAGACACGGCCCAGACUCCUACGGGAGGCAGCAGUGGGGAAUCUUGGACAAUGGGCGAAAGCCUGAUCCAGCUAUGCCGCGUGAGUGAUGAAGGCCUUCGGGUUGUAAAGCUCUUUUAGUAGGGAAGAUAAUGACGGUACCUACAGAAAAAGCCCCGGCUAAUUUCGU
rnacentral:rRNA from 1 species